GUCUCCAUGGUAACAUUGAUGUGUAGAGGGCUGUCAGUGUGAAGUCUCUCAAUGAAGUGUUUCUUCUGCCUAUAACGAUUGCUUUUCUGAUGGGGGUCGCUCUUCCCUUUAACUAAUCAUCUUGUUCCACUCACGGCUGCUCUUGCCAAUUAUUGUUUUGUUGAUUUUUUUUUCAUAGUGAAAUUUUUGUACUUGGCCAAAUUCUGAGGACUUUCCUUUGAGAUGUCUGCUUCCCUCAGGGUUUAGGCUCCCUGGUUUUCCCUGCUAGUUUUACGGUGGCUUGGGACAAUCAAACUUCCUGGCAAGCCAAACGCCACUGGAGUGCGGCUGUCAGGCUGGUUUUGAUCAGCCUGCGUAUAUUGAAUAUGUCAUUGGGACUGUCAAGCCCUCAAUCCACACUUCAAAGGCUGCUUCCGCAACAGGCCACAUACGUUUCUCAGUUUAUUACAUUGUGUUUCAGUACGACGCGGUGGCUUAGCAGAUAGUACCGCGGUAUCAUUCCUCCCGGGGUUAUGGAUGUGAUUCGGAUCUUAACUGCAUGUGUGGAGUUAGUAAGUUUUUGUGUUUUUUUUUAGGUAUUCCUUUUUUCGCGGCCCGAAAGAUAUGCAGCUAGGUGAAAUGGAGUCUCUGAAUUGCCCUUGUUGUGUGAUUGUGUCUAUGUCCUGUGAUCAAUGGCACAGGAAAGUGUUUGAUGCUGGGGGCACAUGAUGUACUUUUAAUAUAAAAGUCUAUUUAUUGGGGGCAUGAAUAAAUACAAAUUCAAUACUGGGGGAACAUGUCCCUCGGGGUUCCUGUGCUGCUGCCUGUGAUCGACUAGCAUCCCAUCCCGGGUGUCCCCUGUCUCAUGCUCUGAAAUGGACUGGCAUCAAGUCCAGGGUGUCCCCUGUCUCAUGCCCCAUGAUGGACUGGUACCCCGUCCCGGGUGCCCCCUGUUUCAUGCCCCGUGAUGGACUGGCAUCAAGUCCAGGGUGUCCCCUGUCUCAUGCUCUGAGAUGGACUGACAUCCCAUCCAGGGUGUCCCCUGUCUCAUGCGCUGAGAUGGACUGACAUCCCAUCCAGGGUGUCCCCUGUCUCAUGCUCUGUGAUGGACUGACAUCCCAUCCAGGGUGUCCCCUGUCUCAUGCUCUGAGAUGGACUGACAUCCCAUCCAGGGUGUCCCCUGUCUCAUGCUCUGUGAUGGACUGACAUCCCAUCCAGGGUGUCCCCUGUCUCAUGCUCUGUGAUGGACUGACAUCCCAUCCAGGGUGUCCCCUGUCUCAUGCUCUGAGAUGGACUGACAUCCCAUCCAGGGUGUCCCCUGUCUCAUGCUCUGAGAUGGACUGACAUCCCAUCCAGGGUGUCCCCUGUCUCAUGCUCUGUGAUGGACUCGUAUCCCAUCCCGGAUGUGCCCUGUCUCAUUUUGACCCUCUAAGAAGCUUAUGGAAGAUGGAGUUCACCUUCCUUGCAGGGGUACCAUAAAGGGGGGAGGGGAAGUUAGACAAUGCCAAGGGCCCCUGAGUGGUAAGACCCUAAAAAAAUUUUGGAAAAAAAAUUGGAACAUACUUGGGGCCCAAUAUGAUAUGCUUUUAUAGGGCCCAGAAUCCCUUGUGGCACCCCUGUUUCCAUGCAAUUAGAUUAAGAUGAUUAUGGUAUGAAUCAUGUGCUGAUGCUGAUGGAUUGCUGCUAGCUUCACUUAUCAUGUUAACAUUUUCUCAUAGGGUUAGAAGUUGUGAAUCCAGCAGCUAGAACCGUAUGAUUAGUUUCACAACAGUAGCCUUCCAAUGGUGCGAAAAAUGUCAGUGUGUGACCUGUGUUGCUGAAUUAAAAAGAGAAGUCAUUUACAUCCAAAGAGCUACUGACCUGUAAUCGUGUCAGAAUAAAUUAUUAUUGUGACCAUGGUUGGUGUGCUUCUUAUUAAGCAUGGACAUGUCUGCUUGCGAAUUGACUGGAAAUCCUCACCAAAGUGGUGAGGUUCUGGAUUUCAAAGUUAGAAAGACUAUCACAUAUUCAUCUGGGGCAGCCAAACCUUGUGUCUAACUUCAAUAGAUAACCACAUAGAAAGCUGACUGUCUCUGUCACUGUUCUCUCAAACUUCUGUAUAAAACAAAGGCUUGUUGGCACAUGGUUAUUAUUAUUCAUAUGGGUCUUUGUCUAAAACAAAUUAAGAAGGAAUAUAUCACCGCCAUUGUAUACUGUGGACUUGAAUUCUCAGAUAAUUAAUGUUAUGAAUAAGUUACGCCUAAGAACCUCGCCAACUCAUUGAACAUAAAAGUGAAACACAUUGAUUGAUCGCAAGUGAAAUGCCUUCUGAAGGAAAUUGAUUCACAAGUGGCAAACUUUUCUCCUGGUACUCCAUGCACACGUGCCACGUUUUUGAACAAAAAAAAAAAGAAAUGAAAGCUGAGGGAAACAUGAGAAUAAAUAAAUUUCCCAGCCUUGUGGGACAGCGUUUGGCAGACAGACGAAAGGUCAGAGAUGAGUUUUUGUGUUUGCUUUUGCCUGGAGAUUUGCACACAUUUCCAA